UCACCACCCCACCAAAUGCCACAGUGGCUCCUCCACAGCCGCCCGCAACCCUUUCCCCUUUUCCCCAGCUCCUCCUCCAUCCUCUUGUGCCCCCCUCCCACAUCUCAUCCACCCCCUCAUCUCUGACCGGGUCCGUGACAUGCGGGACGGAGGCGAGCUUCUCCAGCGUCGGCGACCUGCAGGCGAAGGGCGAGGGCGUCGGCGCUUGAUUUGAGGCAGCAUCAUGGAUCGGUCCCUGCUAAGCCACGAGAUUGCUGGACUGCCACCAUCCCUCCUGCACUGUGCGUUGCCUCCUGCGAGUGCCACCUUGCCCCACUAGCUUCCAGCGCCAUGGAUCCUCCAGAGAUGGAGGGCAACAAGUGAGAGGGAGUAGGAGAACAGGUGAAUCGAGGGAGUGAAAGAAGGAGCUCACACGGGAAGGGGAAGAGGGAGUCUGGCGGCGUAUCCUCAUCUCAUCCCUGGCUGUAGAUCUUUUGACGCCAUGGCACCAGUGGUAGCUCCUCGAUGGAGCGCCUCCUCCCAUGACGGCACGACCAGCCGCUCUGGCUCGACGCCACGAUACACAACGAGAGGCCCUCUUCAUCUCGGCAGAGGAGAAGAACGGCCAGGAGCUGGCGGCCUGCUACCCUAUGCCAAUGGAUGCGCCUCCCAGAUGGCUAGCAAUGCCAGAUCGAAAGGGCUCUAUGGCACCAAUCCUAUUAUUGAAGCCACUGGAUAGUUGCCGUUAGCUGUAAUGUGAUUAGCUACCAAUCCUAUUAUUGAAGCUAUUAUGGUAUAUGUUGCUGCUACAUAAAUAUACUUUUAUGUGAUCAUGAAAUUGCAUUCAGUUUUAGUAUUCUCUGGUGCUGGAAGAGCUAACAUGUAUCAAGCUAGGAGUACAAUUCCUUUUUGUAAAUCUGGCUAAUGCUGACAAUGGACAUGCUUUGAUGUUUUUCUUUUCUCAUACCGUUAGGCAGAUUGAGAAGCUGAUCCGAGCGAAGCAAUGAUGUUUGGUGUUCUUCUGCUGGAGCUGAUCACCAGGAGAACAAUCUAUGAUGCUUCGAGGCCUAAACCAGAGCAGAGCUUGCUAACAUGGAAAACUACUACGGAUGCUGAUCCAUCACAAUAUUGACCAUUAACUUUGUGCUCAUCUCCGAGGUUAUUUUGCGUAUAGCCAUUUGCUUCUCUGGCAUUUCCUUGAAGCUGCCAUUGCAAGAGGAAACAGAAGGAUAUCUUCGUGAUCAGCACAUUGGUGUCUAAGGCUACUUGUUGUGUCACUACGCCCGGCAAGUGCGUGAAUAACAUGGAUAGAUCAAUACAGAUAGGUUAAUUACCGACUAUCAUAGCUAAAAGUUCUAAAAAAUCAUCUGAAGUGAUGUUCUUUUGGUUUUCCGUUCAAAUAUCAUUGAUCCUUGUGCCUGCCGAAUCUCUAAUUUAACACAUGUUGGCAGUCUGACAAAUAGUAAGACACUUCUGGUGGUGCUAAUUAACUCGUCUGAGCCUGAAUGAUAAAGAAAUAUUUUUUUAUCAAUUUA